CGAAUUUAUAUUUGAGAUUUUUCUGCAGGGGUUAGUCCAACAAAAAUAUUCCAAUAUCUACUAUAGCAUACUAUUAGCUAAAAAAUCAACCUAGACACCAUGUCUAAUUUCAUUCAAGAAGGCAUUUUAACCACGUGUAAUUAAAAGCCUUUGAGAGUAAGAUCACCACUCCUAAACUAGGCACCAUGCUUUAUUUAAGAGAUGUAUGAAACUACUCCAAACUUAAACAUAACUAUAGCAAAUAAAGGUAGCAUGAG
rnacentral:lncRNA from 1 species